rnacentral:hammerhead_ribozyme from 1 species
AUCCAGAUGAGGUGCCCAGAAUAGGACGAAAUGUGCAUCCUGGAU